AGCACCAGUACUUAACAGUUGCCCAUGUCAGACACACCAUGUUCAUUUUUGACUCCUCUCUUCCUUCGUUCCCCUAUUCCUUGUGCUGUAUAGUGGCUGGACUGGAAGCAAUGGAAAGACAAGCUACUAAAACCUCCACCAAGUGGAAGGAGUUAACAGCAUGCUGACCACCAGAAUCUAGAUCCCAAACUGUUAGAACCAGAAGCUUGGUGAUGUUAACACCUGAAAUACCACCCUGUUACUUCAACGCCAACAAAUAGAAGGAUGUCCACAAGUUGACCAAUCACCCUAUGACCCUGUCUCUCACCUCACCUUUAAAGUGUCCAUCCACAGAUGAAUGGAUAAAGAAAAUGUGGACUACAACUCAGUCAUGAAGAAGAAAGAAAUUUUACCAUUUGCUGCAACAUGGUUGGAUUUGGAGGGCAUUAGACUGAGGGAAAUAAUUCAGACAGAGAAAGACAAAGAUUCUACGAUAUCCCUUAUAU
ensembl:lncRNA